AGCACCUGUCUUAGUUACUGUUCUAUUGCUGUGAUGAGGUAACUUAUAAAAGAAAGUAUUUAAUUGGAAGCCUGCAUACAGCUUCAGAGGAUGAGUCCAUGACCAUCAUGGCAUGGAGCAUGGCAGGGGACAAGCAGGCAUGGCACUAGAGAAGUAGCUAGGAGCUUUCAUCUGAUCCACAAGCACAUGGCAGAGAGAAGACUGGGACUGGCAUGGCUUUUGAAACUCAAAGCCCUACCUUCCCCCAGUGACACCCUUCUAACAAGACCUUACCUCCUAAUCCUUCUGUAUUAGUCAGGGUUCUCUAGUGGAAUGGAGAUUACAAAAGGCAUAGGAAUAUGAAUAUGUAUAUAUCCAUAUCCAUACAUACGGAGAGAUGGGGAGAAGUGAUUAGAAAUGUCAGAUGGAAGUUUGUGAGUCCCUCAAAGACUAUUCAUGGAACAUUUGUGUGAUACAUUUGAAUUAAAAACCUGUGGUUUCUGGACCUCAGCUGUAGCUAAAGAAUCAGCUGUGAUUAGCAAGAGCCCAGCCCCAUUGAAGCGAAAUGUUUGCUUUACUGUGACACUCGAUACUUGUUAGGUGGGGUUGAAAAAGCUGUUGCAAUUAAUAAGAGACCAGCAUCACUGGGGUGCAGUCACCUGAGAAAUGUUCCCCCAGGGUCAGCACACAGAGAUGUGGUCCAGAGGGGGCUAAAGCUGCAUCUCAGACUGGAAAUCAUGUCUGAGAAUGUGUCAAGAGUCUCCUAUGUGGUACUAGUUUUGAAGCACAAAUGAGCCAUGAUGAACAGCAGCUGAGACUUGGCACUGGAGAAGGCCACUGGUGAAAGGUUUGCUUCGGUUGCAGUGAAUACCCUGGAAUACUGGAGAUUCCGGGACCCUAGGACAACUACCAAAGAAAGUCACAGCUCAUCAUUUUGCUUAUCAUGUCGAGAGAACUGUGAGACUAUUUUAACUUUGAAGAUGUGGAUUUGAUCAUGGAAAGAGACUAAGAGAACUGAAAAUAACUUUGAGAAAGAGGGGUUGAAAAACUACAGUGAUGUCUAUCCUCAGAUCAAGACAUAGUUUGCUUCCUAUAUUAUCCUGUUGUGGAAAGCCUGUGUCACCUGAAGAGUUGGCAUCAUGUUCAUGAUCAAAGAAUGACCUCUUAUUCUACAGGCAGAAAAUGAUGAGCCAAAAUAUUGAAGCCCUUUGCCCUCUUUUC